GAUGAACGCUGGCGGCGUGCCUAAUACAUGCAAGUCGAGCAAACAGAUGAGGAGCUUGCUCCUCUGACGUUAGCGGCGGACGGGUGAGUAACACGUGGAUAACCUACCUAUAAGACUGGGAUAACUUCGGGAAACCGGAGCUAAUACCGGAUAAUAUAUUGAACCGCAUGGUUCAAUAGUGAAAGACGGUUUUGCUGUCACUUAUAGAUGGAUCCGCGCCGCAUUAGCUAGUUGGUAAGGUAACGGCUUACCAAGGCGACGAUGCGUAGCCGACCUGAGAGGGUGAUCGGCCACACUGGAACUGAGACACGGUCCAGACUCCUACGGGAGGCAGCAGUAGGGAAUCUUCCGCAAUGGGCGAAAGCCUGACGGAGCAACGCCGCGUGAGUGAUGAAGGUCUUCGGAUCGUAAAACUCUGUUAUUAGGGAAGAACAAAUGUGUAAGUAACUAUGCACGUCUUGACGGUACCUAAUCAGAAAGCCACGGCUAACUACGUG
rnacentral:rRNA from 1 species